CACAAAGAAAAAGUAUACGUUAAGCACAUCGAUCAUUGAAAAGGUACUAGGUUGUUGCCCCGGGAUAAAACUAAGAAAGAACUAGUGCCUCUCCAAAUGACUAUCUUCAAGAAUAAAGCAAGCGCCCUGUUUUUGGCAACUCUCAUGGUCAUGGGUACUCUUCUCUCAUCAUGCGACGCGAAGAACGAGAUACAAAUAGAUGCUCUCCCCCUACCGGCGAAGUGCUACGAGUUGGAUUUUCCUAACUGCACAUUGGAAUCAUGCAAGAAAUUUUGCAAGAACGAUGGAGGACAAUGCACUUCCUCUGAUGGUUGUUGCUGCCCCGUUGGCUAAGCAAUAACUAAAAUGUUGAAGAUAUGGUUUGCAUAAUAAAAGAAAUCCCUACAUGCAUAGCAUAUCUAUGUAUGUGCUUGUUCUUGAACUUCCUAAUCCUAUUUAUAAACUAGAAUUAAAGCAAGCA